rnacentral:rRNA from 1 species
CCUACGGGGGGCAGCAGUGGGGGAUAUUGCACAAUGGGGGAAACCCUGAUGCAGCGACGCCGCGUGGGCGAAGAAGUAUUUCGGUAUGUAAAGCUCUAUCAGCAGGGAAGAAGAAAUGACGGUACCUGAGUAAUAAGCACUGGCUAAUUACGUGCCAGCAGCCGCGGUAAUACGUAUGGUGCAAGCGUUAUCCGGAUUUACUGGGUGUAAAGGGAGCGCAGGCGGCAAGGCAAGCCUGGAGUGAAAGGCGGGGGCUCAACCCGCGGACUGCUCUGGAAACUGUACGGCUGGAGUGCAGGAGAGGUAAGUGGAAUUCCUAGUGUAGCGGUGAAAUGCGUAGAUAUUAGGAGGAACACCAGUGGCGAAGGCGGCUUACUGGACUGUAACUGACGUUGAGGCUCGAAAGCGUGGGGAGCAAACAGGAUUAGAUACCCUUGUAGUC